AACUUGGAAAAGCUCCCAAAAACUAAUGAAAUUCCAUGAAUAAAGAAGGAGAACUAAAAGAAAGAGAAAUCCAUAAGAUGAUAAUUAAUAAACACCCUCUCUUAAUAACAUAACAUAGGAGUCUUUAAACUUAUAUUCUUCAAACAAUUAUAAGCUGUCUUCAACUUUACUGUUAAACUACAAUUAUAAAGAAUUAAGAAUCACACACCAACAACAUUUAUAAGUCAUCACUCACAUGCAACAAGGUGCCUCAAUGUGAAUAAACCAAGAUCAAUAAGAAAUGAGGUUCCACUUAACCAAGCUGAGAAUUUUCUGGUUUUCCAGCUCCAUGCACAAACCUAAUACAAUGAUAUGAUAUUCAAUAUCAAGAGGUACCUUGUCGUAAAACUGAGAAUAUGAGGUUGCAUAGGAUGGAGAAAAGUAAGAAGAGGAUUUACCAAUUACCCUUUCAAAUGCAGCUCCUCAAGAUUUCAUAGUCCCUUCCUUCACUGCAAAUGCAACCCAAAUAUGUUAAAGAAGUUAAUGAAACCGGAAUAUGAAGAGUUUCGAAAUAAAAAUUCAACAUGUUGAAACUUGUAAUUUAGAAGUAUUGACGAUAAGGCAGUUUAGAUCCUGACCAAUGAAAGACUAAUUAGCAGGAGAGAGACUAGUUGACUGGCCUUCCUCUUCCUAUCUUCCCUUGUGUCUCUUGAAGACUGUGCAACAUUGCUUCCACUGGAUUCUUCAAUCUCACCAGCACCACCAUAUUCAUCAUCUUUCUUUUUGGAAUAAAGAGGGCAUAUGCCGCAUUCUUUUAUUGUGAUGCCAACGUCAUAAUCACGCGGACUGAUCUCAAAAGUGAAGCUGCGAGCAUCACAGAGCCUAAGGCUCAUGCCCUUCGCCCUUAGGGACUUCAUGUUAAAUUUCCAAACGAAUGUGUGAUCUUGAUCAAGACCUCUGUCUUCAUAACCCCAUUCGAAAUAGCUGGUGAACACAUCAUUAUUUGGAAUGAUCUGUGUGCCAUCAUCAUCAGAUUCAAAUUUUAGACUGUAACCAAAAGAACCAUAUCCACCUUCAAUAUCAUUCGUAUCUAACACUCCAACUACCACACACAAAGCGAAACCAGUGAGCCUAUCAUCGCUGCAGACACUUAAAUCUUCAUUUAUAGUCACUGAAUCUCCCUUCCCACGAAAAUGGAACCAACCAGGAACUGCACUCCCUGGAAAACAGAAGAACACACACCUAUAUGUAUCGUCGAUCAUCCUAAGCCUUGCAUCCUCCUCAAUGUUAGCACGACCACCUGAAUCCAGUUGUUGAGCAUUGGUGAAAUGAAAUUUGAAGACACCCUCUUUGGAAUUUGACAAGUUUCGAACAAGAGAAUUUGACAUCACUCUUCUAACGGAUGGGCAAUCCAAUGCCACUAGUUGUUUUAGAAAUGGUGGAAUCGGUGGGAUGCAUUCAAGCUUUUCGCAUUCGCUUAAAUCAAGCGAUUUCAAGCUCGAAAGAUGAGCAAAGCUCUCAGGAAGGCUCACGAUUCCGCUAUCACGCAGUGAGAGUUCCAUUAAUGACGUCAAACGACCAACAUGUCUUGGGAUUUCUGUUAAUUUGGCACACCCUGAACAAUCAAGUUUAGAGAGAAGCUUCAGAUUAACAAUGGAGUUUGGAAGUGACUCGAGAUCAAUGCAUUUGCGGAGCUCCAGGGAUCGUAGAUUAACCAAAUUGGCAAAUGAGGAAGGCAGUUCUUUAAUAGCCGUAGAUGUUAAGUUAAUGUGAGCAAAAGUAGGAGCCGGCUCCGUGAUAUCUGGGUAGGUCCUCAGGCUUGAGCAACCACACAAAUCAAGCUUCCUCAACUUCAAAUUGAAAAUGGUGCUUGGAAAAGUUUGAAGUGAAUUACAGUGGGUAAGGUCUAACUUGCAUAGUCCGGUGAGGCUUCCAAUGGAAGAUGGAAUAAUCUCAAGAUUCAAGCAACGGUGCAAACUCAGUUCUUCAAGCCCUACCAAACGUGUCCAAGAUGAAGGUAGUGCCUGUAUGGCUGUGUCGUCUAAGAUGAGCACCGUUAAAUCUUCCAACGUGUCCUGAAUCUCGGGUAAAUUUUCCAAUUUUGAGCAACCCCGGAGAGAAAGUUGCUUUAGGAAUUUCAUAUCAGAAAGAUGAAAUGGAAAGAUUGUAAGAGAAGAACAGUGAGAGAGAUCUAAGCGAUAGAACUGCUUGCGACUAAAGGUUAAGGACACACCUUCCUUGAGUUUUGUGAACACUUUUAAGUGUAUGGUAUUAUUAGCCACUUCUUCUUCCUUAUAUCUGUCAAAAGUAAUUGAGAAAAUUUGACUGGAAGUUGGGAAAAGACCAUGGCGUCGACGUUUACGACGCCGUCGUGAGAAAUUGAUCUCUUUCAUCAUAUCCGGUUCCAGACGAGGGAAUCUUGAGAAAGUUUGACGUUGACGCUCGAGUAUGACAUGAGGGAAUCUGGGUUCACUGGUUGAAAACAUAUUAAGCUUCGGACAACGGGAAAUAUUAAUCCAUCCUGGUGAUGUGGAUAAAAUGUUGCUGGGAAUAUUUACACUUUCGAGAUUAGAACAAUUAUCUAAACAUAAAUAACUGAGCUUGGUGAGGAAUAUCGAGGAGUGAACUUCAAUCAACUUUUCACAAGAACUCAGAAUUAUUUCUUCAAUAUUUGGUGACAUAGAAAGGUCUGGUAUUCUAGUAAGUUUCAGAGAACCAGUCAGGUCGACCCUUUUCAACUUGGGUAAAUUCUGCCACAAAUACUAAAUGAAUGAGGUAACAAAUAAAAACUACUUUAUCUAUUUUUCUUCGGUAAACUAAUUUAUUUUUCAGAAAUGAUGAAAAUUAUAACUAAACUAUAUAAAAUUCCAUUUUAUUCUACUCAUCCUUAAUUUUUUUGUGAAAUCUUGAUUUUGGGAUAAUAUCACUUAAACUUAAGAAAUAUUUGGCAUUAAUGAACUCUAAACAAAUUCAUAUAAGAUAUACAUCACUUUCAAUCCAAAAUCUUAAACUAAUAGGUUUAUGAAUUUUCUUUAUAUGUUGUUUUAAAAAGUUGAGACUAAAUUGAACUUUUGAAAAUUGGGAGGAUGAAAUUAUAUUUUGUCUAUUAAUAUAGGGAUUAAAAAAAUAAUUGAAUCAAAUAUUACUAUUUUUGUGAUGUAUAUUUAUAUAUAAAUAAUUUUGAGAAUUUAGAGUUAUAUCAUAUAUAUAUAUAUAUAUAAAAUUCUUUUUGGUAAUGUAUCCUGUAAUUGUAAGCAAGUAUGAUUAUAUUAAGUGGGUGCGUUUCAAAUAGAGGAGACUACGCACAUACAAAUAUCUCUUAUAAAGUAAGAAAACAAACAAACCGUUACUCAAGAAGAUCAUGUAAUGCAUGACAGACAACAUGGGGAGAUAUCUAUCAUCAAUAAUAAAACGAUGUUUUCUGAGAGUUAAAAUUAAACCUUAUUUAAAAUAAGUCCAUCUUUCCAUAUUUUAUAAUUUGUUGUAUAUUAUAUUGAAGUUUAUGUUAUAAUAAAAAAAAUGACUUAAUUAAUCAAAUAAUGUGGAGAAGGCACAAAGGAAUUGCAAAUGAAAACCAGUAGAUGUAUAAUACAGAAAACAUGCUUGUAUAACUUAUUUUUGUCUUUGAAAGUUUAGAACACAAAGAAACAUAGAUAGCUUGAAAAACCUGAUCUCCUUCCCAAAGUUGUUCAAGAUUGCAGCCUGGCAUUUUGAGGGUCACUAGACUUUGUGGGCAAAAGUUUGGAGGCCAAAAUCUUUGAAGGAAAUUGUCCCAAUAAAGAAUCUUUAAAGUGUCCGGCAGAUCUACAAGAGAUGAUUCAAGAGACUCAUAAGAUUGUCCAUCUUUUCGAAACUUUGUGCAUGUACUACAGCAUCUUUUACUUUGUUCGUAUGUAGUAAUAUACACUGUAUUGCAUCUGACCCCUGAAAGUAAAUCAAUGUAAUUAGAAGAAAAAAACAUGAAAUGUUGCAUUGCAGGAUGUUUGAUGACAGCUCAGUGGUUUGCAAUUUUUCACAAAGUAAAUCCAUGUUCAAUUGAGUAACGACAUAAUACCUUGUUCUUUCUUAAAACCUCUCAAAUUUCCUCAGCAUUAAACAAUCGGCUGCGUUUUCCAGGAUGCUGAGGACACUCUUUACGAACAAUUUCUUGACUCAUUUCUUGUAUUAGAUCGUGCAUCACAAUUCUACCAUCAAAGACAGAUAUUAGGCCCCUAUCUUUGAGAAUAUCCAUUCCAAUCUUAGAAGAGAAACCACAGUCAGCAAGUGUUUCUGCUACCACAAUCUCCUGGCGUCCUCUAUAAAAGCAAGCUAUGUCAAGAAAUAUAUUCUUCUCCUCCUCCUCCAGCCCAUCAUAACUUAAUUUUAAUACAUUGAAAAUAUCAAGAUGUUGGCCCUUUUCCAACUUUUGCAACUGACUCUCCCAUGCUUCUCUUGUUCUGCCAUAAAGCAAUGACCCCAAAAUCUAGAGAGCUAAUGGAAUCCCUUUUGCAUAUCUCAACACCUUUUCUGACAGUUCCCUGUAAGCAAUUUCUUCUGAAGAUUUUUGUUUAAAAGCAAGUAAACUAAAAAGUUUCUGAGAAUCAUCAAAAUUCAACUCCUUAACUUCGUAGAUAUCAUCAGCUCUAGCAUUCUUAAGCACUUGUUUGUCUCUACUGGUGAUAAUCAUUCUACUGCCCUGCCCAAAACUAUCACUCCCUCCUAUUAAUUUUUUAAGUAGAGCUGAAUCGGUAACAUCAUCAAGAAUGAGGAGAGCCUUUGUCCGUUUCAGCCUUUCAUUGUAAUAUGAUAAACCAUGGGAUUUCUUUAUCUCUUCCUUUAGAAGCUCAGACAGAUAUUUUGUUCUGAUACUGUCUAUUCCAUCUUUUUGUAUUUUUUCUUGAACGUCUAAAACAAGGCUGCUGGAACCAAACUGCAAAGCCAAUGUGUGAUAUAUUUGAUAACAAAUUGUAGUUUUUCCUAUUCCUCCCAUGCCACAAAUUCCUAUGAUCCGAACAUGCGGUGACUCAAGAUGCAACAAGGACUGAAUUCCUUCAAUGUGUUUUUCAAUGCCGAUGAUUCCUUGAUCAUAACUGGUGGAAUAACGAUUCAAUUUUCUCAAAAUAUCUUCCACAAUUUCUUCAACAAGUGUGUGUUCUGGCCUGGCAGAUGAUUUAGAAAAUAAAGUAUAAGUAUUCAAGCACAAAAGCUAAACUAAACUAAAGAAAAAAUCAGAGUUAAGAGGAGUGAACAUCAUUGAAUAGAUUCACAUAUCGAUUCUAGUUUCGAGUUUUGGAUAAAAUAAAUAAAUUAAAAAGUUGAAGGUAAGUAUAGGACGUUAUCUUCGUAUAUUAGUUUGGUUGGUUUAGAAAUUGCAAAUCAAGAUGGCAAAAAUACUACAGUAACCGUUUGUGACUUCUGAUAAUAGGGAGCAGAUUUGUAGGUACAAAGUUAAGCUAUAACAUGUGAUAUGGUUCAGAUCCAUGACCGACUAAAAGAAAGACUUGAUUUAUGGUGAGAUGAACACAAUUUUAGUAAAUGAAAAGAAAUCCUGUUUAUCUCGAAAUUAUCUAAUAAAUAUAAUGACCUGGUGACUUUUGAAUCCCAGCCUGAAAGUCCAGCAGCUUCGGUGAGAGCAUCCUUCCAUCCUUGCGCUUUGACCAUGUCGUGCAUAAACCGCUGUUCAUGAUCAUCGAAUGAUUCUUUGUAUCUUUCUUCCUGCUUCCUAAUAGUUGAUGGAUCCACCUUGUAGAAAACAGGUAUCACAUCCCUUCCAAAUCUCUUCUUGCAUUCAAGUAUCUUACUGAGUUCAUUCAAGCACCAAGUGGAAGAUGCAUAGUUUUGGGAGAAAACGAUGACAUAAAUCUUUGAUUCUUCUAUUGCAGAGAGCAGUGCAGGUGAAAUUUCUUCGCCCCUGAGUAGUCUAUAAUCAAUAUAUGCUUCAAUGUUCUUCCUUUGCAGUGCUGCAUAAAGGUGGCUAAUGAAGUUGUCACGUGUGUCUUCGCCUCUGAAGCUGAGAAACACAUCAUGCCUUGUUAGAGAAGUAGACACGGCCAAUGAUGAAGGACUUUCUGACAUUGGAGUCAAUUUUCUCUCCUUUCUCUGCAAUUCUCAGGUCUCUUUCUUUGUACUGUUUCUACCACAAAUCUACUCUGCUGCUCUGGACUCAUUAUAAAACACAAGUCAACUUUUGAAAAAGUCUUUCAAUUUUCUUAACAUUCCUUUCACAGAUAUGUGUUCUGGUCAGACAUCGUAGUCAGCAGAAACUAAAGAAAAAGAAAAAUAUUAAUUUAAUAGAAUAGUCAACAAAUUGCAAAAUAAGUAUGGAAUCUAGAUUUAUAUCAUUAUCACGUGUGGAAACAUAGCUACGUCUUCUUAGAUAAAAUCCUUAUUUAAGUUUUAAUUGGGCCUUGUAGUGGGCUUUGUAAUCUGCUUUUCUUUUCUCCUAUAUUGCUUUAUAUAUACACCUCCACUUUUGCUUUCUACAUUUCAUUUUACAAAAUACAUUCUCUCAUUCUGUGUCAUUUAUCUUGCCUGAUUCCGUCCUCUCUUUAUCUUUUUCUCUCAUCCUCUUGCUUAUAAUUCUUUUGUUUUUAUUAAGAAAUACACUAUAAUUCUAAUUUAAUCAUAUACUAUAAUUAUGCUAAUCAUCAAUUAGUACUAUAUAUUAUUAAUGAUCUGCGUAUAUAUUAUUUAUGAUUUGCGGAUAAGACAAUAGAUUCAAUAAAUUCUAGAUAAAAUAAAUUUUAAAUGAAUAUGAUAAAAAUAUAUUAAAAAAUGAACUUUAUUGAAUCGAUUGAGUAUCUCUAUUUUAAAGACUUGUAAGAAUAAUAGGAAUAACAAUAUAUUAAUAUUAAUAUGUUUCUUAAUAAAUUUCAUACCCACUAUCUAUUUAUAAAUUAAUAUAUUAUAAAUAUCUAAUGAUGUCUUAUUUCUCUAACAUUUAAAAUUAAAUUUGUAGAUUCUACAAAACAUUACAUUUUGAUUUUAAUAUUUAUAAAAUAUUUUUUAUUCUCAUAUUUAAAAAACAAAACUUAGUUUGAGUGUAUUCCUUAGUUACUUACUACUCAUCACCAGCCGCCAACAGCGUGAUGGCUUCACUCUCCGUUCGCGCCACAACCACCUCUUAUCGGGCCUCCUUCCGGCCCAAGCCCACCUCGGGGCCCACCAGGGUCCGAAUGUCCCUCCGCGAUGACGGCCCCGCCAUCGCCGUCGUCGGCGUCACCGGCGCCGUUGGCGAGGAGUUCCUCUCCGACCGCGACUUCCCCUACCGUUCCAUCAAAAUGCUGGCCUCGCAGCUCUCCGCCGGCCGCCGCAUCAUCUUCGAGGACAGGGACUACGUCGUGGAGGAGCUCACAGCGGAUAGCUUCGACGGCGUCGACAUUGCGCUCUUUAGCGCCGGCGGUGGUAGACUAUAGCUCCGCAUUUGGGAUGGACGAGAAGGUGACGCUGGUUAUUCCCGAAGUGAAGCCCCAAACGAUGCAACACAUCAAAGUUGGAACGGGAAAAGGCGCUCUGAUUGCGAACCCUAAUUGCUCCACCAUUAUUUGCUUGAUGGACAUACUAAUUAAUAUCAAUUAUAACAAAUAAUGAACGUUUCUGGUCAUUUCUUGUACUUCGCGUUAUUUCAUAACAGUAGUUUUUUUAAAUAAAUUAAGAAAAAUAUUCAUUUUUAAAUUUAAUGCACUUUUAAAUAAUUUGACUAUUAUAAACAUAAUCACUUAUAAAAAUAAUUUUAGAGUAGUUGAUAUAAUUAAAAUAAAAUAUUUUAUUAUUAAAGUAAAAAUUAUAUAUAAAUAAAAAAUAGGUUUUAUUUUAAAAUAAUAUUCAAUUUUAUAAAAGUUUUUUCUUUUUGUCUUUUUUUUUUUAUAUUUCUAACCAUAUUUUUUCGUGAGGUUGAUAAUAGAAUCUCACUUUGGAUUUAUGGGAAUGAAUAAUGAAUUAGUUUUUAGUUUUCUAUUUAUCUAUAUAUAAAGGUGAUACGGUGACAAAUUCCAAAAUUUUAUUAUAAUGUUUGCUUUGUUGAUUGAAAUAGAUGUUAAUUGAUGAAAAAGAUUGAAAGUUUUAAACCCAAUACACCCCUCACGUCGAGGUUAGGUGGACUGAUAAGUUCAGCAAAAUCUCGUUAUGAUAGUUUUUAGAUGACUCUGAUACCACAAUAAAAAAUAAACUUUAAAUUUAACUCAACCUUACAAAACUAAUUUAUAAAGUGAGCUAUGUAUCCCUAGUCGAUGUAGAAUCUCUAACAAUGAUUUAAAUGAAUUGUUAUAUGCUUUAUGAAGUUUAACCUUUAUUUUUACUUGACAAAUUGGAUUUUAAUGAGGUAUAUAUGCUCUCAGCAUCAAAUCCGCUUAACGAAAUUUAUAUGUGUCAAGCGAAUUUGGACAUGUAGAGUUUGAUGUGCUCUUGGCCUCAAAUCCGCUCAAUGUUUUUUUUUCCUGUACUUAAGCAAACUUACAUCCAGAUUUUGGAGUACUUUCGAACUCAAAUUUGCUCAAAGAAAUUUUCUUAUGGUAAGCAAAUUUAAGCGGCUAUUGUUUGGAUGUUCUCUGCCUCAAAUUCGUUCAGUGAAAUUUUCCUGUGCUAAGGAGAUUUCUCUGGGCUUAAGCCCCAACUUCAUGGGCUCGACCCAUUUUGACGACAUUUGUCAUCUUUGCUUAGAUAUCUUUUGGUUUGUUUUCUAUAGGUCAUGAAAUUGAAUUAAAUCUUUUGAAAUUUAUCAUUUUGUAAAUUGUAAGUGAUUACAACUUUCUAAUGUUCAUGCAACAUGUGUUUAAAAUAAGUAAAUCUAACAAAUAAAUACUCGUUACAUAUUCAAUGGAAAGCUUUUUCUUUUAAUUCUUUGGUGUUUUAUUUUGAUGAUGUAUAUAUUUGAAAAUCAAUGUAUGAAUGGAUAAUGCUUUAUGAUAUAAUAAUAUUACAAUGUAAAUGUUAUUUAUAUACUAUCACAUGAUAAAUUAAAAUUUAAUAAGAUAGUUAAGGAUGUUAUAAUUAUUCUUUUAAUUUAUUUUAUUUCACUGUAUAUUUAGGUGUAUUACGUAGAAUGUAUAGUUAAAAAAAUAAUGUUAUUUUGAAAUUUAAAGAAUGACGUAUAGAAAUAAACAAGCUUUUGUUAAAAUUAUACUAUUUGAAAAGGAACACAGAACAAUAUUGACAAUUAUACUUUUACUUAUUACUUAUUUUAAUUUAUUAUAUUCAUGAGUAUUAUUUUUUUUAAACAUAGAUAUUGGAUAAAAAAUAUAAAUAACAUUUAUUUAUUUCAAAUUUAAAAAUCUUUAAAAUAAAAUUAAAUAAUAUUUUUAAUUAAGAUGUGUUUUUUAACAAUUUUUUUAAUUUAAAAAAUAAUUAAUUCGGAGGAUGAUUAAAGAAAUAUUAACAAAUUAUUUCUGCGUUUAUAAUAAACCUUCAAUAAUAUUUGUACUUUCUAGCAUAUAGAAUACUUAAUGGAUCCCUUUGUGAUUUUUCUUUUCUAAAGUGCAAUUGAUAUUUUAAAUGUUUUUCUAUUUAAUUUUCCUUUCUUAAUGACACAUUAAAGGGUUCAGUGCACGAUUAAUUAUUCUCACCUUAGAUUUCAUUCAUCUCAUUCCAUUUCCACACUCAAAUCAUUCUCACAUUUUUUUCUACCUAUUUCACAAAGUUUUAUGUAAAAUAUGGAAAUUAAACUAAAAGAACCCUACUUAUAUAUUAAUAUUCAACAACUUAAAAUAUUACUAUGCAAAUUAAUCUUUCUUAAUAAUGUUAUGUAAAAAUUAAAAUGUAGUUUAGUCAUUCAUACUUAGAUGGAUAAAGAUGGUUUUAGAAAAAAAAUGCAUUUUAUUUCAAAUCUAUUACUUAUAAAAUGAGUUAUAAAAUGAGGUUUGUGAUAUUUAUUCAAAAUUUAAAUUAUAUUAUGCAUUUAUGGUUUUAUGUUUUUAAAGAAAUCAGAAACUUAGAAAAGCUCCUAAAAACUACUGAAAUCCAUAAGAUGAUAAUUAAUAAACAUCCUCUCUUAAUAACAUAACAUAUAAGAUAGGAGUCUUUACACUUAUAUUCUUCAAACAAUUAUAAGCUGUCUUCAACUUUACUGUUAAACUACAAUUAUAAAGAAUUAACAAUCUCACACACCAACAACAUUUAUAAGCCAUCACUCACAUGAAACAAGGUGCCUCAAUGUGAAAAAACCAAGAUCAAUAAGAAAUGAGGUUCCACUUAACCAAGCUGAGAAUUUUCUGGUUUUCCAACUCCAUGCACAAACCUAAUACAAUGAUAUGAUAUUCAAUCAGCAUUAAUUGGCAUAAACAGGUACAUUGUUGUAAAACUGGGAUUAUAAGGUUCCAUAGGAUGGAGAAAAGUAAGAAGAGGAUUUACCAAUUACCCUUUCAAAUGGAGCUCCUCAGGAUUUCAUAAUGCCUUCACUGCAAAUGCAACCCAAAUAUGCUAAAAAAGUUAAUGAAACUAUAUAUGAAGAGUUUCAAGAAAAUGCAACUCUGGGACAACAGAGAAACCCAUCUCAUGCUGAACAGAAACAUCAAACUAUAUCUAACAAUAACUUAGAAAUCUUUGUCAACAAUUGAACGAACCCACUCCUAAAAUGCCAUUGAAAAUGUAAAUAAAACAAAAUAAAUUAAAAACGAGAAAUUCAUAAUAAAAAUUCAACGUGUUGAAACUUAUGAUAACUCAGUUUAGAUCCUGACCAAUGAAAGACUAAUUAGCAGAAGAGGAAGAGACUAGUUGACAGG
rnacentral:lncRNA from 1 species